rnacentral:rRNA from 1 species
UACGUAGGGUGCGAGCGUUAAUCGGAAUUACUGGGCGUAAAGCGUGCGCAGGCGGCUGAGCAAGUCGAGUGUGAAAGCCCCGGGCUUAACUUGGGAAUUGCGCUCGAAACUACUUUGCUGGAGUGUGGCAGAGGAAGGUGGAAUUCCACGUGUAGCGGUGAAAUGCGUAGAGAUGUGGAGGAACACCAAUGGCGAAGGCAGCCUUCUGGGCCAACACUGACGCUCAUGCACGAAAGCGUGGGGAGCAAACAGG